rnacentral:rRNA from 1 species
UACGGGGGGGGCAAGCGUUGUUCGGAAUUACUGGGCGUAAAGGGCUCGUAGGUGGCCAACUAAGUCAGACGUGAAAUCCCUCAGCUUAACCGGGGAACUGCGUCUGAUACUGGAUGGCUUGAGUUUGGGAGAGGGAUGCGGAAUUCCAGGUGUAGCGGUGAAAUGCGUAGAUAUCUGGAGGAACACCGGUGGCGAAGGCGGCAUCCUGGACCAACACUGACGCUGAGUGAGCGAAAGCCAGGGGAGCAAACGGG